GCCCUUACGGGGUGCAGCAGGCGCGAAACCUCCACAAUGUACGAAAGUGCGAUGGGGGAAUCCCAGGUGUUAUUCUUAACAGAAUAGCUUUUCAUUAGUGUAAAAAGCUUUUAGAAUAAGAGCUGGGCAAGACCGGUGCCAGCCGCCGCGGUAAUUCAAGGGC
rnacentral:rRNA from 1 species